rnacentral:rRNA from 2 species
ACGAACGCUGGCGGCGUGCCUAAUACAUGCAAGUCGAACGAACUCUGGUAUUGAUUGGUGCUUGCAUCAUGAUUUACAUUUGAGUGAGUGGCGAACUGGUGAGUAACACGUGGGAAACCUGCCCAGAAGCGGGGGAUAACACCUGGAAACAGAUGCUAAUACCGCAUAACAACUUGGACCGCAUGGUCCGAGCUUGAAAGAUGGCUUCGGCUAUCACUUUUGGAUGGUCCCGCGGCGUAUUAGCUAGAUGGUGGGGUAACGGCUCACCAUGGCAAUGAUACGUAGCCGACCUGAGAGGGUAAUCGGCCACAUUGGGACUGAGACACGGCCCAAACUCCUACGGGAGGCAGCAGUAGGGAAUCUUCCACAAUGGACGAAAGUCUGAUGGAGCAACGCCGCGUGAGUGAAGAAGGGUUUCGGCUCGUAAAACUCUGUUGUUAAAGAAGAACAUAUCUGAGAGUAACUGUUCAGGUAUUGACGGUAUUUAACCAGAAAGCCACGGCUAACUACGUGCCAGCAGCCGCGGUAAUACGUAGGUGGCAAGCGUUGUCCGGAUUUAUUGGGCGUAAAGCGAGCGCAGGCGGUUUUUUAAGUCUGAUGUGAAAGCCUUCGGCUCAACCGAAGAAGUGCAUCGGAAACUGGGAAACUUGAGUGCAGAAGAGGACAGUGGAACUCCAUGUGUAGCGGUGAAAUGCGUAGAUAUAUGGAAGAACACCAGUGGCGAAGGCGGCUGUCUGGUCUGUAACUGACGCUGAGGCUCGAAAGUAUGGGUAGCAAACAGGAUUAGAUACCCUGGUAGUCCAUACCGUAAACGAUGAAUGCUAAGUGUUGGAGGGUUUCCGCCCUUCAGUGCUGCAGCUAACGCAUUAGCAUUCCGCCUGGGGAGUACGGCCGCAAGGCUGAAACUCAAAGGAAUUGACGGGGGCCCGCACAAGCGGUGGAGCAUGUGGUUUAAUUCGAAGCUACGCGAAGAACCUUACCAGGUCUUGACAUACUAUGCAAAUCUAAGAGAUUAGACGUUCCCUUCGGGGACAUGGAUACAGGUGGUGCAUGGUUGUCGUCAGCUCGUGUCGUGAGAUGUUGGGUUAAGUCCCGCAACGAGCGCAACCCUUAUUAUCAGUUGCCAGCAUUAAGUUGGGCACUCUGGUGAGACUGCCGGUGACAAACCGGAGGAAGGUGGGGAUGACGUCAAAUCAUCAUGCCCCUUAUGACCUGGGCUACACACGUGCUACAAUGGAUGGUACAACGAGUUGCGAACUCGCGAGAGUAAGCUAAUCUCUUAAAGCCAUUCUCAGUUCGGAUUGUAGGCUGCAACUCGCCUACAUGAAGUCGGAAUCGCUAGUAAUCGCGGAUCAGCAUGCCGCGGUGAAUACGUUCCCGGGCCUUGUACACACCGCCCGUCACACCAUGAGAGUUUGUAACACCCAAAGUCGGUGGGGUAACCUUUUAGGAACCAGCCGCCUAAGGUGGGACAGAUGAUUAGGGUGAAGUC